rnacentral:rRNA from 1 species
AUUGAACGCUGGCGGCGUGCCUUACACAUGCAAGUCGAACGGCAGCACGGGAGCAAUCCUGGUGGCGAGUGGCGAACGGGUGAGUAAUAUAUCGGAACGUGCCCAGUCGUGGGGGAUAACGCAGCGAAAGCUGUGCUAAUACCGCAUACGAUCUAAGGAUGAAAGCGGGGGAUCGCAAGACCUCGCGUGAUUGGAGCGGCCGAGAUCAGAUUAGCUAGGUGGUGGGGUAAAGGCCCACCAAGGCGACGAUCUGUAGCUGGUCUGAGAGGACGACCAGCCACACUGGAACUGAGACACGGUCCAGACUCCUACGGGAGGCAGCAGUGGGGAAUUUUGGACAAUGGGCGCAAGCCUGAUCCAGCAAUGCCGCGUGCAGGAUGAAGGCCUUCGGGUUGUAAACUGCUUUUGUACGGAACGAAACGGCCCUUUCUAAUACAGGGGGCUAAUGACGGUACCGUAAGAAUAAGCACCGGCUAACUACGUGCCAGCCGCCGCCGUAA